CUUAUGACCGGCACCCUUGUCGACGGUAUGACACUGAGCACACUUGGUCCUAAAGAUCGUCUCUCCGACUUUUGAAUCGCCAGGUGGUGCUUCUGCAAACGAAGCCAUUUCUUCUCUUUGAAUUCUCUUUGCCUUUAGAUCUAGAAGGCGUUGUGAAUUUGAUGUGAUUCAAACAAUUUAUGAAUUCAUUGAUCUAACACCCAACUCACAUUACAUUAGAUUUAUAAUUAAAUUGUUGAAAAACUUGAUACGAUCAAAACUUGAGCUUGUUCUAAUCAAACUUGCCCAAAUCAAAAAAUAAAAAUAAAAAUUAACUUUGACUUGGACGAAAAGAAAAACCAACUUUAGCAUGGAAUCAAAUUGCGAUCACUUUACUUAAAAAAGAAAAAGAAAAAAAUAGGCGUAAUCAUCUUGCUCGAGUUGCUGUACGUGCAUGAUAUGCUCCUUUCUUUAUCCGUUUUUUAUUUUCAAUUUUUUGAACUCAAACAUUUUUAUGUCAUAACCUAAUUUUGGUUUCCCAAAUUUUUUUAAUUUUUCAUGUAGAAAAUGUUCUUUUAAGAAAAAUAUUCCAAUUUUUUAAAAAAAUCAAUAAUAAUAAUAAUAAUAUUUUGGAUCUCAAUUAAGAAGACAUUUUAUUUACAAUGGGUUAGAAUAUUAGGUGUUUGAAUAAUUUAUGGUCUCACUAAAGAAAUUUUAAAAUAUAUAUUGAAAUUGAUCAAAGACUGCAAAGUUUAAGGAUCAACAUGGACAAAGUUGUAAAGUUUGGCAGUUCAAUUUUGAUAAAUAAAAACUUAAUUAAGAAGGAAGUUGAAAAUGAUGGCAAAAUCACAAAAAAUGGAAAAGUUAAGUACAUAAUUGAACUUUGGAGGGGCUUGAUUGACUUAACCAGGAGCUAAAAUGAAAACAAAAGUUUAGAAGUCAUUUUAGUCAAAAUUCAAAGGUUCAAUAAGUCUAGGGAUUUAAUUUAGCUUUGGAUUGACUUAAUUAAUUCAACUAGGAAUUUAAUUAGAGAAAAAUUAAAGUUUAGGAGUGAUUUUUGGUCAAGAUUGCAAGAAUUACAGGUCUAGGGUCUAAAAUGAAUAGGAAUCAAAAGAAUUAAAAGUUUAAAGGGCCAAUUAAGAACAAAAUUGAAGAAUAUCAAGACCAAAUACUAUUAUGUAAAAGGCACCAAAGUUUAAGGGCUUAAUUGAAGAAGUCCAAGGGCACAAUAGAAAGAAUCUCAAAUAUUGAAACCAAUUGAGGGUUUGAUUGUGAAAUUACAAGAAAAUAGGGACCAGAAUUGACUUGAAAAAAUCAAAACCCCUAAUUAAUACAGGUUACAAAAACAAUACCGUUGGGAAAAACCUAUGUGUAUUAGGGAGAGACAAAGUCAUUUUAAUUUGUUCAAACAAAAAAAUAAAAUAAAAAAGACAAAAUUAUUUGUCAUUUGACAGACUUCAUUCUUUAUUUCAAACAUGUUAUUCUCUUUUAUUUAGAUGAAUUACUUGACCUACCAUGUAUGGUUGGAAAGUAUGAGAUGUCUAAUUUCUAACUUAUCUUGAACAACAACAAAAUUAUACAUGUAAUUCCAGGUAUAUCCCAAACAGUACAUAGAGAUCUAGUUAACAAAUUUGACAAUAUUUAUCUAGUAACUUUUAUCCUCUAAAAUAAUAAGUUCUGAAUUCCAUUUGACCUGGAAAUUUAUCACAAUAUAGUUUCAUAUGUCUAGUAUCUCCCUAUAAAAUUUCAGUUCGAUCCGAUAUAUAAUUUGAAAAAUGUUUCUAAUCUCACAGAAAUAGUCAUAAAUAUUUUAAAAUCAAAUUCAGACUUAACUUAGUUCGUAUCAUGUAUGGACUUCAUUGAAGAAUUGUCUAAAUCAGAUGGAAAAUAGAUAAUUUUAGUGUUGGUGGAUAGAUUUAGCAAGUACUCUCAUUUUAUGGCUCUAGUUCAUCUUUAUAUGGCUUAUUCAGUGACUAAGGUGUUUAUGGAUAAUGUUUCACAAAUUACAUGGCCUCUCAACUGCUAUUGUAAGUGACAUGGAUCCAAUAUUUGCCGGUCAGUUCUAUAGGCAAUUGUUUAAGCAUUCAGGAGUUAACCUACAUUACUUAACAAUCUAUUACUCUUAGUUUCAUGGCUAGACAAAGGUGGUCAACAAGUGUCUAGAAACCUACUUGCGAUGCAUGACUAACGAACCCUACUCAUUGGUUUAAAUGACUUACCCUACUCAUUGGUUUAAAUGGCUUUUUCUUGCAGAAUGAUGGUAGAACACUAAUUUCUAUUCUUCCACCAAGGCCACUCCUUACGCGGUUCUUUAUUGAUUCUCUCCACCUAUUCAUUGGUUUAUGGAUUGUAGAAUGGUUUAACAAGGAAAUCAAGCAACAAUCCAAGUAUUGAUUCACUAAAGGGUUUGUCUCCGGCAGAUGCAACCCAAGUAUACUCAUCGACGAGUCGCCUCGAUUGCACUCCAUUUCAUUCGUUAAUGUUUUGGUUAUCGAACGAUUUUGAAAGGUUGGCUGUGUGGCGAGCGCAAGAUUAAGAGGGAAGAGGGUGGUUGUUUGGGUGUGCAAGACACGAUGGUGGUGCUUUUGAUAUCACAUUUUCCUUAUAUACUCAAAUUUAGUUUUUUUAUAUCACAUUUCCUUACAUUUCCUUAUAUACUCCAUGUUUUUAGAUUUUUUGGCCACUGCUGAUGUUAAAUAACUAUCCAUCAUUAACCAGAAAGAAGGAAAAAGAGUGAAGUAAUUAACAUCAGAAUUACGUGCCGACAUGAGAAGAAGGCUUGUAGACCGAUCUGAUCUGAAAACGUGUUAUGAAACUAAACAUGGAUAAUCGAAGUAUGAAUGUACGUUUGUUUGCAUAACAGGAAAAAGUGAUCAAUUUUUCUCACAACUUAAACCAUCCAUCGUUAAUAUCAUCCUCUGUCCUUUCUAUUCAGUUCAGGAUUUGAGGACAAGUUUCUCCCUGUAUUACUCUUUCCCCACAAAUGGAGCUGAAAUCAAUUCCAGUUCACUGUGUCAUGGCAACCUUUGAUUACUAGGGAUUAUCAUGGUUUGCAUGUAAGAAAUAUAGAACUCGACAGGAAGGAAAAAUAAAAAUAAACUUGCAUUUCCCGGACAAAGUCACUAGUAAAGGCCACUUUAUCACAUUUAGUGUUCCAGUUCUCAGACUGCAUUUAUCCAACACUGGAAAACGAAAGCAUUCCAGUAAUCACCUGCUAGAGAUGCCAAUACACCAUUUUGCAUUUCAUUCAAAAGUACAUUACCGUAGACCUGCUAUGCAUCAGAGUAUAUUGAAGGCAAGCGAUAGCAACCAUGGAAAUGUUCAUAUGCAAUAUCAUCAAAACCAUAAACUAUCAUUAACAAACUAUUUAUUGGUAAUCCACCAAAUAUUCGCAAAAUCAAGGCCCAGAAAGCUAGAUUCAAUGAAUCGAAUGUUUAGUUUGCCAAUUAUGGCAACUCUUCGAAGGAACAUUGACUAGCAAUGCUCAUUGUAUAGGAUGGUUACUUUAUUGGUAAAAAAAAAAAAUUAUCUCCAACAACUGCAAAAUGGGGAGGCCGGAAGUGUGAAAUGCUUAAGAUGCAGUGGACUGCUUCAAGUAUGCAAUAAGAUCAGCACGCUCCUGUGGCUUCUUCAAUCCAGGGAAAACCAUCUUCGUUCCAGGGAUGUACUGCGUAAACAAUUUUCACUAUGGGUCAGCAACGCAAACUAACAAAAAUAAACAUGGUAUAAGAGACACAAACGCCAGUGCCAAGACAUGAGUUCUUCAUCUGUAUCUAGGAUAGUAAGAUGAUUCUACCUACUAUAAAUGCUAGGCUAUCUUAUCACAUUGAAAUGAAAUGUGAAAGUUCAUUUCAUACACCAUAGGAUAAAUAUCAUCAAUGAUGGGGUCACUUUCCUUGAUUAUUCAACCUUGAUCUCAGAGCAAAGCCUAAACAUAAUAAUCCUACACGCUCCAUGUUCUCUAUUUGCAAGUCCUUCAACUUUUAAGCCAGCCUUCCUAAUUACUAGACCUAGCAUAUUGUCCAGCAUGUUUCUCUUCGUGACCUUGAGUUACCAAAUGCUGAGUAACAAUGUCAUAACUUGAUAGAAAACAACUAAGUUCAGCUAUCAUCACAGAAUUAUCACAAAACUUCAAUGUAUAAACCAUACUUAACCAGUUAAAGACGCACUGUCAAACAUGCCAAGUCAUACUAUGCUUUAGAGUUGAUUAAUACCUUCUUGGGGUUGAGCAAGUAAUCAUACAAAGUCUUCUCCUCCCACGUGACGGCCAUGUUCUUGUUAGCAGCAGAGUAAGAGUAUCCAGCAGUUGUUCCUGACUGCCUUCCAAACAAGCCAUUCAGAUUGGGUCCUGAACAUUUUAACAGUCGAAGCAAAUUAAAACCUUAAGAACACAGGAACCAAGCAAAUAAUUUUAACACAAAUCUCAGAAGAAAUUGACUAUCUAAAAUGUUCACUCGUUAAAUACCAGAUCCCCAAAAAAAAAAAAUAGAAUCCAAAAUUAUAAAUAUCAUCCUAAAACCUUAAAGAAAACACUGAAAGAAACCCACAUAAAUUUAAUAUUUGCUUCAUUAAAUCCAUUUCUAAACUCAGUUCCACCUCUCACCAAAAUCAUGAUUUUCUUGCAAAAACCUUAAACCCAUCAGAGAGAGAGAGAGAGAGAACUCCACAGUUCUGUCCAUCUAAACAGAUUAGAUCUACGAAUUAUUGGGGCUGAAAACAUAAUAAUCAACAAAAUAAAAGACAAUUUGACCUCGAAAAUAGAAGAUCCAAACAAAAAGAGGGGGGCGAUAAAGUUACCUUGCUUAUGACCGGCACCCUUGUCGACGGUAUGACACUGAGCACACUUGGUCUUAAAGACCUUCUCUCCGACUUUUGAAUCGCCAGGUGGUGCUUCUGCAAACGAAGCCAUUUCUUCUCUUUGAAUUCCCUUUGCGUUUUGCUUUCUGCUUUCUAGAAGGCGUUGGAGAGGGAGAGUUUUGGGCUUGUUUUAUAGAAACUAGAAAGGAAAGGGGAGAGUUUUUG
rnacentral:lncRNA from 1 species